GUUACAAACAAAAGUGAAGAACAAAAGAAAAAGGAAAUUCUGCCCUGUUGCUAGGUCUCAGCUAUUAUAAAAGAGUUAGAGUCAAAGUGCGCACUCGUCAUUGCGCAGUCGUUACAAGCAGCCACUGAGCACUCAAAAUGCGCGCACUUGUGGCUUCGCUCUGUGCUUUCCUGGCAUUUAGUGUCGUUUGCGGCGAUGUCCAAGAACGCGGUCAUACCUACGUGACCAGAAAUGUGACUGUCCAAAAUGGUGCAUGUGUCUUUGAACGCAACGUUAUCCAGGAUGGUGAAACUAAGGCGCUCAACAGCCCCUGCGUCAUUUCCACCUGCUACGCUGCUGCCCGCGAAGUGAAUUCAACUCUGUGAGUAUGGGAAUCCAGUGCCACAAACUAGCGGUA